AGAAAAGCACCUGAACUCUUGAUUGUGUUCACUGAUGUGGGUUGGGGUGAUUCCACAGGCAAAGGUUUCCCUGCAGCUGAGCUGAAGACUGUUUAAUAGGGGCCUGAAGGCCCCAAAACCCACCAAGAGCGAGAGGAUGACAACCACCAAAUACCUCUGUAGGAAGAAGACAGGCAGAGAGUUUAUUCAGCUUGCCCAGCACUUCAGCCACAGGAGCCAACUCCAAGGCCAUGGAGACCAGAACCAGCUCCUGUGACUAUAAUACCUCCAAAGCACUGCAGCCCAAGGGCUGAUGUCUAUUUUCUUUUGGCACUGGAUCAUCUCUCCCACAAGGAUCUGCACCAGGAGCUCCUAGGAAGCUGCUGCCCCUGCUUCACACAGUGGGCAGCUGAGAUGCCCAAUGGAUGGACAACCUUCUCUCAGCCUGGAGUGCUUCCCCAC
rnacentral:lncRNA from 12 species